rnacentral:rRNA from 1 species
AGUGAACGCUGGCGGUAGGCCUAACACAUGCAAGUCGAACGGCAGCACAGUAAGAGCUUGCUCUUACGGGUGGCGAGUGGCGGACGGGUGAGGAAUACAUCGGAAUCUACUUUUUCGUGGGGGCUAACGUAGGGGAACUUACGCUAAUACCGCAUACGACCUACGGGUGAAAGCAUGGGAUCUUCGGAUCUUGCGCGAUUGAAUGAGCCGAUGUCGGAUUAGCUAGUUGGCGGGGUAAAGGCCCACCAAGGCGACGAUCCGUAGCUGGUCUGAGAGGAUGAUCAGCCACACUGGAACUGAGACACGGUCCAGACUCCGACGGGAGGCAGCAGUGGGGAAUAUUGGACAAUGGGCGCAAGCCUGAUCCAGCCAUACCGCGUGGGUGAAGAAGGCCUUCGGGUUGUAAAGCCCUUUUGUUGGGAAAGAAAAGCAGCAGGUUAAUACCCCGCUGUUCUGACGGUACCCAAAGAAUAAGCACCGGCUAACUUCGUG